CAGUGGCUGAUGACACCCCGAGAGAGGGAAGCUGGGAGACGGAGAGGCACGUGUCCCUUGUUGGGAGCACGCAUGGCCACUCACUCCAGUGAGAUGGAAGACUCCCAUCCUCUGUGACGACUCCCGUCCUCUGUGACCCACAGAAGCAGCUGGAUCCCAGGUGACACUGGUGUGCAGCCGGGCCGUGCGAUCUCUAGCCAUCGCAGACCUGGGUUCCUCCACAGUGGUUUCCAAAAAGGAAGGAGAUGGAGGGCGAGUGUGUGGAUUCAGAGUGACCUGCCUGUCACCAGUGGUCCCAAAGGACCUUCAGGGGAUCCCAGUUCAAACCGACUGUGUCAUUUGCAGGGCUGUGAGUGCUAUCGGGGUUUGCUUGCACUGAGGCGUCAGGACUGAUGGAUGGAGAGGGUGUUAGAGUGCGGUUGUGUGUGUGCUCUAAACAUUCUGCACUAACAUGUGUGCAGGUGAGGUGACAUGGUCCCGGCACUUCAAGACAGCCACCUGCAGGUGUCGGUGUAUGUUGGCAACGAGGGUGCCUGAGAGUGGCCUCAUGCAGUUUCUUCAUAUUAUCCCCCUUCCUCCUUUUAUAUCCCGUAUUUUGGGGGCAUUAAGAUCACUCUGGUUUGUUGCUUGGUAUUCCUACACGCAAUGUGACAUAGCUUGGCCUAUCUCUUCCUUCUUUUGAAAACUUAGAUAAUAGAAGAGAUUAAGAAACGCUGUGCUCCGGCCAUAAGAAAAUAGACUCAAACCACAGGGGCUGGGGGAGCCUUCUGGGGAGGGGUCAUAAACACAGGGGAAGGAACUGGGAAGGGCCACCAGGCCCACCAAGUCCCCCCAAGACAGGAGCCCUUGGAGGGGACUGGCAACUGAGGGGUGGGGGCUGCUCCUGCCCUCCCUCCUUCUCCCUCCCUCCCUGGCACCCCCUGACCUUCCAGGCCCUAGGAGUUGGGGACCUGCCAUCGACUGUCUUUGACUCUCUAGGAGGGAGGGAUCUGCCGGCCCUGGUUGGCUCAGUCAGCCGUGGACCCUUGGUGACUUGGAUUAGGGACGUGUGCCGGGUCGGGUGGUGGAUUUCCAUUCCCAACACAUGAAGAGACUGAUGCUCAGAGGCUGAGGACUGGGUUUCUGCGACUGCGAAGUCCUUGUCUCUAGAAGGAGCUGUGAGUCGCGGGCAGGGUGGUGGUGGGAUCUGGCUGGCAUGGGGGUGAUGGCGGCAGGAGAGGCCGGAGCCCAGGCUGCGCUGUGGACUGGGGUUCUGACCUCGUGAAGGAGCACAGGACGCACCGGGGUGGGAGCUGCAGAGGCCACUGCAGGUGACAGGGCUGGGCUGGGCAUGGAGCCCAGAGAGCUUCUUCAGGAGAGGCAGCUCCUUCCUGGCACCUGCUGUGACACUUGCCCCGCAGGUCCUGCCCACCAUCAAGGCCCGGGGCACGCACCGCCCCUUCCCCCACGCCUUCCCUUCCUGUCCUCCUCUGGCCUCCAGAGCUGAGCAUGUUCUCUUCUUACCUUAGCUGCCCUGAGAAAGCAGAUUUGAUCAUUUCCUUAUUUUCUGUUACUGCACGUUGCUUCUCUGUCUCUGCUUUUAGAUUUCUGCUGGACUCUAAAGUCCUUGUCCUCAUCACAUUUGCAGGCAGGACAGUAGGAAGGGCCACAGUCCUAGCUUUAAAUCCCAUUCUCUCGCUUACUCACUGUGUGGCUUUGGGGCUGACCUGGCACUGCUCUUGGCACUGGGAGGCCUCUGUCCCACCUGGAACCCACCUGGCAGCCUGAGCCUCGCCCUGGGCCUUCCUGGCUGUGAAGAGCCCACCCCUGCCUCCUGCCUCUCCUUUCCCAGUGUUUCCGGGUGGACAUUCCCCUUUCUGAGCAACCCACAGUUUCCUGAGUUUACUCCCAAGCCUAUUCUGUUCUUCUUACUGUGCAGCUGGAAGCAUGGAGCUCAUGCACCCCAAUUGUGCUGGGUUGGUUUAUUGAUUAUUUCAAGCUGAGAACAAUGGGGAGACUGUAGCUGCAUAAAGGCUUCCUGACCCUGCAGUUCUUACACACAGCAGGCCACAGAGGCUCCUUCAGAAGGAGGCCGUCCCACACUGGGACAAGGAGUCUGCAGCACUGGGGCUGGAAGUUGGCACCUCAGUGUACCUGAACAAAUAAACUCAAAGAGUGACUUCUCUUCCAUUAGCUCACACCCCGUGACUCCCCUAGAAUCACCAUCCCUAGCCUAGACACCUUUGUCCUGCGAUUCUUCACGAAUUUAUCAUUCUUUGUCUAAGAAGUAGAAACGCUCCUGCUUUGGCUAUUUCUUCAGUUCUCUACUUCCUUGCGAGGGGACCCAUUUGUUUUAGUUCAUUUUCUGUGGCUGUAAGAAAAUACCUGAUGCUGGAAAAUAUAUGAAGGAAAGAGGUUUAGCCAGGUGCAGUGACACACACCUAUAAUCCCAUCAAUUUGGGAGGCUCAGGCAGGAGGAUUGCAAAUUCAAGGCCAGUCUCAGCAACUUAGUGAGACUCUGUCCUAAGAAAUACAAAGGACUGGGGAUGUAGCUCAGCAACAGAACACCUCUAGGUCCAAUCCUUACUACUGAGAGAGAGAGAAAAAAAAGGAAGAAAAAGAGGUUUAUUUGUCUUACAGUUUUGGAGGUUCAAGAUGCAGUGUCUGCUCAGCUCUGGUGAGGACCCCUUAGCUGAGCCACAAUGUGGAGGAUGGUAUGGUGGUAAGAGCUUGGGUGAGAGGAGAGACCCCUGACAGGCAGGAAGCAAGAGGGAUUCAAGGCUUGUUCGUAUGACAACCUGGCUCUGGGGAACGACAGGUCCCUGAGAGGUGCUCAGGGACAUACCCACCUCUUACAGGCUCUGCCACCUCCGCACGGCCAUCCUGGAGAGCAGCCUUCAGACUGUGAGCCUCGGGGGGCACCCACAAUCCACACCCAGGCCACCCCUGGGGGGCACCCACAAUCCACACCCAGGCCACACCCAGGCCCAGGGGAUGCUGAACAAGCCUGCACUCUCAUGUCCUGCAAAUCUGCUUUGUGUUGAUUUGGUUCCCAGACCCAGCUGGAGAGCCACCUGCAAACCCAGAAGGGCAAGGUGAUUAGUGGUCUCCCGCUCCCAAUAAUGCCAGGGACGUGUGCAGAGGGGAGUCUGCCAGCUUCCAGACGCCCGUGUAACCCCCUUCUCCUCUGUUUUCCCUCCCAGCGCCACACCCCUCAUCCCGGGGACACAGUGACAGUAAGUGUGUGGUGUGUGGGCAGAAUUGGGCAAGAAGGUUGAAGUGUAUCCACAGUUACGUCUGGGAGAGGUCUGCAUUUUCUGUAUUAGACCUUUUGAUAAUAGCUCACCGUUAGUUCUAUAGUAACUUUUUUUCUUAGAGAAAUGAGUGUGGCCUUUGGAAUCCUGCAACUAGAUGUGGCUUCUCUGUGACUGUGACUUAGGGCUCUGGGCCCUGACCUCAGCUGCCCCCUCUGUGAAGCACAGAUGUGACACCACCUCCUUCACAGGGCUGCUGAGAGCACAGGAGUCUUGACACAGGAUGGCCACCAAAUGCUCUGCUUCUGGGAAGGAGAGACACACAAGGUCCUGGGCCCCUCUCCAGCUCAUUCCUGUUUACACGAGGAACUCCCAGCACUGCAGAUGCGAAGCUAGUGUAUAUGCACGCACGUGUGUGCAAGGAGAAGAGGAAAGGGAGGCUAGUGUAUGUGCUUGUGUGUGCAAAGAGACAGGGAAGGGAGAGGAAACUCCAGCAGACGCCCGGCUAGCUGACCGCAUGUCCUGCCCUGAAUGUGCCUUCUUGGUGGCCCAAUGGCACGUUUUAUAUGCACACCUUACCACCAAAAAACAAACAAAAAAACAAACCAUGAGAAAACCAAAACAACUUCAAGAAACGUGUCUCAGGGAGGAGGGGAAUAUCUCUCCUUGCUGCAGGCUCGGGCCUCGGCCUUUUACCACGUGGUGCAGGAACCACUUGAGCUGUUUUAAAAGGUGCCAUCGUGGAUAUGCGUCCUCUGCCACAGGCACAGCUGGUCCCUGGCAGGGCAGCGAGCUGGGGAAAGCUAGGGAUGGGGAUGUGGAAGGGGAGCCCUUUCGACUUCCUGAGAGCCUUGAGGCCUAUCCCCUGCCACUUCCUCUGGCCUCUCUUCCUCAGCCCUGUUGCCUGAGCAGGUUCUCUGCAGUUGUGGGAGAGGGAGGGACGUGGCACGCAGCCCCUGGCUCCUCCCGCAGCCUCUGCUCCUGCCUGGGUGUUCUGACCCUGCCACUGAUCAGGGUCCUCCCGUGAGCGGACGCUCUCUCUCCAUGCUCUGCGUAAAUGUUCCUCACAGUGGGCCUCCAGGUGGGUGGUGUUAUGUCCAUUUGACAAGUGGCCCCCGGGAGGCCAGUGGCUUGCAGGCUACCUACCCAGGUAUAGCCAGAGGCUGAGCUGGGAUCCAGAUUUGACCUGUGAAUCUCUGAAGUCCACCCUCCCCGUGGUGGUCCUGGGUAGGCCUCUCCUCUUUCUUUAGUUGCAGGAUAAAACCGGGCGAAACCAAGAGGAAGGUGUUGGGGUCUGUUGGCGUCUCCUGGGAAGCUCUGCGAGGCACAGGGAGCUCCUCCUUACCGCCAGCCACGUCUAGGUCCCGUGCGCGGAGGGACAUGGGGCUGAGCCCCUCGUCUAGACCAGGCUCUGCAGACUUGAACACGUGUCCACAUCGCCUGCACCUUGGGUCCGAGUGCAGAUGCCCCUCAGUAGGUCUGGUGCGGGCGGACACUGCGCUCCUAAGCGGCUCCUGGGUGAUGCUGAGGUGCCCAGGGGGAUGGCACCUUGUGCAGAGAGGGUCUGAACGAGCCCUAGGUGAGUGGCUCCUGUAGAUGCUGUGGCGGUGCAGGAAGCAGGUCUAAGGCACAGGUGUUCCCUGCACCCGAGACCCUGCCCACCCGCAUCUGUGACGUACAGCAGCAUUUCUGUUGGUGGUGAGAUUGUGUGAAAGGCCGACCACACGACCUUGGGCCGUGAGAUCUGGUGCAGGGCUGUGGACUCUGUGAGGAGUUCCUGUCCAGCUCUGCUACAGUGGACAGGCUCCUUCCACUGAGGCCUUGGCUUUCUCCACUCCAUAAUGGGGGACGUGAACCCUGCGUACCUCACUGGGAGGACUGAACAGGUUCACCCAGACAAAGCCCAGGCGCACCCAGGCUCUCAGCGUGUGAACUCAGCAGACUCUGAAGCUCAUCUCAAGCCCCAACUCCUUGCAGGCUGGAAAGCCGUGUACUGGGCAGGGUCUGCUGGAGUCUGACACCAGGUGCCUGACCACAGACGAGACGUCAAGGCCCGGAGCCCUCACCAGAGAUUCUGUCCUUGCUGACAGGGUGACGGGGCAGAGGAGCCGGCUGUGCCCUCCCUCUCUGCACCACUAGAUGAUCUCUUUUCCCUACCUACCUGCGGCAAUUUCCCCAGUGACUUUUGGCACCAAAACAGAGAAUGUUAAGUCUUAGGAUAUUGGUUUAAGUGCUGCUUUGAGACGAGGUCAUUAGUAGUAGUUUGCUCAGUCAGAUCUUAGUUCAGUGCUUGGUGCCAGAGGUCCAGGAGACCUCACUGUCUACUAUGAGGUGUUGAGCAGAUGGAUAUGGUGGCCGUCGUGCCAAGCGCCGUUGGAGAACAGGCUGUCUGACCCGGGCGUGAGGAGCUGAGACGCCUGGGACUCUACUCAAGGGCUUUCUGAUGGCCUGUGUCCCAUACACUGGAGCAGGAGGGACAAAUGCUAGGGGCUCUGAUGUGGUCUGGGCCCUUAGGCGGGGGCAGUGAGAGGGGGAGAAGUUGGUGGAUCCUGGAGGGGAGCGGGGUCCCUCUAUUUCCCUGAUUAUGAAUUGGCGCCUGGCAUGUUAUAAUCCCCUGCUUUUUCUCAGUACAGAAGACACCAUGCAUCAGCCUAGACUAUUCCAACCAGCUGCGGGGUUUUGAGGCAGCUACUUCCCCUUUUAUAGAGCUUUUGAUUCCUCAAAUGGCAGUGGGAGUGCGCUUUGGGGUCAGUGGGGUCCCAAGCCUCGCCAUCUGGGGACUCCCGACCACAGUAUUAGCAGAAGGAGAUUUUAAGUUUUGAGUAAGCAGCAGAAGCAGAAGGGUCAACGAUAGAGAAGAAUCUCCCAUCCUUGAAGCAUCCGUGCCCCUUUCACAGGGUGGUGGAGUCACAGUCACGCUGUUAUAGUGGAGAGGCCAUAUGGAUCAGGAACCCCUUAGGACACCGCCACAAAGCAGACCUGGUCUCUGAGACAGACUCCGCCAGGCUCCAGCCAGGGGAAGCAGAGAGGUGGCUCAUCUGCUGGCUGUGGGGAGCCAUUCUCACACGUGACUGGGCAACUCCCGGUUUGGGUCUGAAGUGCUCUGGCUAAACUGUGUCGGAGCUUUCCCGGCCCCCUCCUGGUGCGAGAGCCUGUCCGUGUGGGGGUGUGACUGACCACUGACCCCGGGGGCCAAUCACUGACCCUGACCUUGGAGUGCGGCCCCCCUCAACCUUCAUUGGAUGGAAUUCUCCCCUGAAUUUCUUGUUCCCCAAUAAAAGGCUACUCCCUGGCAUGCUCCCUCUCUCUCUCUCCUGCUAGCCCUGAGUAAUCCUUGCUGCCCUACCGGGUGGUUCGAGGUGAGAACCAGAGGGGGAGCCGUCUCGGAUCUGGUCAUAGAAAAAGGUAACUGAGUUUGUGUGUUUAUUUCGAUCUCACUAGUUAACUUCUAUGCCAAGAACCUCUUUAAUGAAACCAGUGCGCUGGUCGCAUGGUGGAAGCUGGCGCUGCGGACACACGAUAAGUCAAGUGUCCGGUUCCGGGGACACUGACUGGACACACAACUCAACUUUCAAUGGCUUGAUGUCUCCAGAAAUUAGCACUGAAGUAUGAGCAUCUAGAAAGCAAACCUCCUGAAUUUGCAAGUCAGGAAACAGGACCAGAGGCCAGCUGGCGGGCUUGCAGUCCCGUGGCUGGCUACCUGGAAGUCCCAAAGCCUGAAGGGGUCUGUGCAGGGACAAUUUCCUCAGGAGGGUCCCUGGGGUGGUGGCACAAGGCAGUUGCUGAUGCUGUCAAGCAGACUCAUGGCCAGGAGCUGGGGUGCCCUGGAUGACCGCAGGUGCUUCCUGAAGGGGCCCCCAGGGACAGGGGCCUCAGUGGCUCUUCUCUGAAGUCUCCUAGCAUUUCCACGGGGCAGUUCACCCCGAGGACUGUCCCCUCUCAGUCCUCCAGUCUUUGGGACUCAGGAAGAAGACUGAUUCUUCCCCUCCAAGAACUGGGAACCCGUUCUCAAGGUUGGUUGGUUUUUAAAGAAUUGGUGACCAUCCACAUUUUCUCCUGAGGUCCUCUGAGCUGCUUUUUUUUCUUUAAAAUGACUCCAGCAUCACAAGACAGGUUGAAUCUACCAUCUUGUUUGAGCAGCCAGACCUUUAUCAAAUUAGAAUAAUGAACGAGGACAGGAAGGGGGAAGAGAUUUUCAUUGUUUUAUUUUUAGAAACAUGAUACUUAUGUGAAUCACGUGACCAGUUUUGACAAAAGCCUCUUUAGGUUUAAAAGUGCAUUUGCAAUUAAAACUAUAUAAAAAAUAGCACAUAAAUUCACAUACUUUUUUUUUUUCACUUCCUUUUAAAACAGGGAAUAACCUGGGGAUUUUUUUGUGUUUUCUGGCAGAAACUUCAGGUUUUUCAAGGAGGUCAGAGAGUGAAGGUCAAGAUUGAUGACUUCUGGGGACAGGUUAAAGGGAGCUACAUCGAGCUGGGCUGCUCCCGUGUGGGAAGCUCUGGAGACGCUGAACAGGUGUGAAUGGGCGUCGAGAGGCUGGACACAGGUCCUUCUGCCGCCUGUGUCCUGUGGCACCCUCAUGGUUCCUCUGGGGGCUGAAGGAUCUCACCUUUGGUGCUCUCUCCCUCCUCAGGGUCUCUGUUCAGAGCUGUGCCCUUUGGGGCACUGCUGACCCUCAGUCCCAAUUUCCACCAUCCUAUGUGACCAGGAGGGGAGCCGUGGACCCACGGAUGCUGUGGCCUGCUGGCUUUCACUCGCCCUGCUGCCGGGGCCCAGGCGGGUGCUGGACGCCAUCUGGGAGCAGCCCUGCGGGGGUCGGCGUCCACUGCUCCAGGGUCCUCCGGGAUUGAGAUGUGCCUCUCCUGGUGGUCACGGCUGUGGCUGUAUCCUAUGGACCUGGACCUGCAGCCCAUACCCGCGACUAGCAGCCUGCAGUCACCGCAGCGCUACCCUCCCGCCAGAUCCCUAGGCUGCCUGAGACUCAAUGCGGCAGUACAUUUGGAAAGCAGACAGCUCCAAGCCACGCUCCUGCCUGGUGUUGUCCCGAUGACCCCAGGCCACCGAGGUAGGCAGUUGGAAGUCCCUGUGUAGCAUUCGGGACUCUUUUGAAUUCUUUUGAGAGUUCAGGGCUGGACUGAGGGAGUGUGACCAUCACUGCUGGCAUCAGCCUGGCCCUGGGCAUCAGCCCAGCCUCUUCCUCUGACUCUGGACACUGAGAGCCCUACUCUUCUUGCAUGAGAGCCGGCAGUCAGAAAAAUGUAGUCUUGAGGACACCCGCAGCACG
rnacentral:lncRNA from 1 species